rnacentral:hammerhead_ribozyme from 1 species
AUCUAAAUGAUGAGUCCCAAAGAGGACGAAAUGCUCGUCAAACUGGAU